AUGAAUUCACUUGCUGCAAUGCUCAAUUGCAUCUACAAGAAAUGUGUCCGACAAUUUCCGCAAUGAUUUGAAGAAGUCAAAUAUAUGCACAGUUAUAUCUACCAAACCCAUGACCCCACGAAAACUAUUGGCAGUUUUACACACGGUUACUUAUGUUACUUCCUUCUUAUGCUUAACCACUAUGGCAUCCCCCAAGAUUGACUUAGCAGAAACUCUGAUCUGCAAUACAGAUAUACUAUGAAAAGUUCCAUGACUUGUGAAGACAAAGUAACACAAAUAUCACUGGUAGUCAAUCCAUUUCCAUCAGCCGGUAGCUUCUAGCCUCUCAUGGACAAGGAACACUGGCUAAGCUUAGGAUAUGAUAAAAAUAUAUGAAUAACCACCCAGGCGCAUCCAUAGUUGCUCGAAGAAGAUAGCAUUAAAGAGUGUGUCUGACGGAAACUGCAACAAAGGUGUGGUUGAGAGAGUCUAAUAACUGUUGGUGCAGUGGCUAAUAACUCCUUUAAAUCGUACAGUGAUUGACAGCUUCUUUUAAAUUGUUUCAUUGUAAGCCCAUCAAAGAAAAUUGGACGGAGGGACGAGCAGUACCAGACCAAAAGAAAAGGUAUUGAAGCACCACUUUAGCCAUGCAAAUUCAGAGUUAAUUACAGAAGAAUCUUGGCAUGGGAUUGAUUAAUUGAUGUGGUGGUGUUGGGAUGUAUUAAGAUGGAGAUUUCUUAAAAUCUCAAUUCCUUCGUGUGUAAACGUUGAAAUUUAUGCUUAAUUUUUUUUGU